CGGUGGUGAAGGUGCAGGCCGUUGGGGCGGCUCAGAGGCAGCCACUUCUUUCUUCCUCAUCACUUUGCUGUUUUCGGAAAGCAGUUAGUAGUUAUUCGCUGUAUGUGGCUUUUGAGCCAGAUCGGCCCUCUUCAUUAUGCUAAACGGCGGAAUCAUCUGGAGCGAGAUACCCAAUGAACUACAUUGAGCUCAGGAGAGUUUUAUGAGCAGAAGAGCAAAAAUACACAUAUUGGCCGAGCGUGGUGGCUCACGCCUGUAAUCCCAGCACUUUGGGAGGCCUAGGCGGGUGGAUCACUUGAGGCCAGGAGUUCGAGACCAGCCUGGCCAACAUGGUGAAACCCCGUGUCUACUAAAAAUACAGAAAUUAGCCGGGCAUGGUGGUGCACGCCUGUAAUUCCAGCUACUCAGGAGGCUGAGGCAGGAGAAUUGCUUGAACCCGGGAGGCGGAGGUUACAGUGAGCCAAGAUCACGACCACCACACUCUAGCCUGGGCAACAGAGUGAGACCCUGUCUCAAAAAAAAAAAAAAAAAUACACAUCUAUAUAUGCUAAAAUAUGGUAUUUUACAAAAAAAAAAGUCUUCCAUUUUAUGCAUAAUAAAGACAUGAAAUUA
rnacentral:lncRNA from 10 species